GAUGAAGAACGUAGCGAAAUGCGAUAAGUAAUGUGAAUUGCAGAAUUCAGUGAAUCAUCGAAUCUUUGAACGCACAUUGCGCCCCCUGGUAUUCCGGGGGGCAUGCCUGUUCGAGCGUCAUUUCAACCCUCAAGCUCAGCUUGGUGUUGGGCCCCGCCGCCCCGGCGGGCCCUAAAGUCAGUGGCGGUGCCGUCCGGCUCCGAGCGUAGUAAUUCUUCUCGCUCUGGAGGUCCGGUCGUGUGCUCGCCAGCAACCCCCAAUUUUUUUCAGGUUGACCUCGGAUCAGGUAGGGAUACCCGCUGAACUUAAGCAUAUCAAUAAGCGGAGGA
rnacentral:misc_RNA from 1 species